GACAGAGGGUGCAAACGUUGUUCGGAAUUACUGGGCGUAAAGCGCGCGUAGGCGGCCCUGUAAGUCCGCUGUGAAAGUCAAAGGCUCAACCUUUGAAAGCCGGUGGAUACUGCAGGGCUAGAGUCCGGAAGAGGCGAGUGGAAUUCCUGGUGUAGCGGUGGAAUGCGCAGAUAUCAGGAGGAACACCAAUAGCGAAGGCAGCUCGCUGGGACGGUACUGACGCUAAGGCGCGAAAGCGUGGGGAGCGAACAGG
rnacentral:rRNA from 1 species